AUACUUACGCUGGCAGGGGAAGAUACCAUGAUCAUGUAGGUGGUUCACCCAGGGCGAGGCUCAGCCAUUGCACUGAGGCUGUCUGACCUCUGCGAAUUCCCCCAAAUGUGGGAAUCUCGACUGCAUAAUUUCUGGUAGUGGGGGACUGCGUUCGCCGCUCUCCCCUG
rnacentral:snRNA from 1 species